UACGUAGGCAGCGAGCGUUGUUCGGAGUUACUGGGCGUAAAGCGUGCGUAGGCGGUGUCUUAAGUUUGUUGUGAAAGCCCCCGGCUCAACCGGGGAGGGUCAUUGGAAACUGGGGAACUUGAGUAUAGAAGAGGAAAGUGGAAUUCCACGUGUAGCGGUGAAAUGCGUAGAGAUGUGGAGGAACACCAGUGGCGAAGGCGACUUUCUGGUCUAUAACUGACACUGAGGCGCGAAAGCGUGGGGAGCAAACAGG
rnacentral:rRNA from 1 species